GAUGAACGCUGGCGGCGUGCCUAACACAUGCAAGUCGAACGGAGUCCAGCCUUUAAGACCUUCGGGUCAAAGAGGGGAAGACUGAGUGGCGGACGGGUGAGUAACACGUGGGCAACCUGGCUCAUAGAGGGGGAUAACAGAGAGAAAUUUCUGCUAAUACCGCAUAAGCACACACUGCCGCAUGGCAGAGGGUGAAAAGGGAAUCGCUAUGAGAUGGACCCGCGUCUGAUUAGCCAGUUGGCAGGGUAAGAGCCUACCAAAGCGACGAUCAGUAGCCGAUCUGAGAGGAUGAACGGCCACAUUGGGACUGAGACACGGCCCAAACUCCUACGGGAGGCAGCAGUGGGGGAUAUUGCACAACGGGGGGAACCCUGAUGCAGCGACGCCGCGUGAGUGAAGAAGUAUUUCGGUAUGUAAAGCUCUAUCAGCAGGGAAGAUAAUGACAGUACCUGAAUAAGAAGCCCCGGCUAACUACGUG
rnacentral:rRNA from 1 species